rnacentral:rRNA from 1 species
GAUGAACGCUGGCGGCGUGCCUAAUACAUGCAAGUCGAGCGAACAGAUGAGGAGCUUGCUCCUCUGACGUUAGCGGCGGACGGGUGAGUAACACGUGGAUAACCUACCUAUAAGACUUGGAUAACUUCGGGAAACCGGAGCUAAUACCGGAUAAUAUAUUGAACCGCAUGGUUCAAUAGUGAAAGACGGUUUUGCUGUCACUUAUAGAUGGAUCCGCGCCGCAUUAGCUAGUUGGUAAGGUAACGGCUUACCAAGGCAACGAUGCGUAGCCGACCUGAGAGGGUGAUCGGCCACACUGGAACUGAGACACGGUCCAGACUCCUACGGGAGGCAGCAGUAGGGAAUCUUACGCAAUGGGCGAAAGCCUGACGGAGCAACGCCGCGUGAGUGAUGAAGGUCUUCGGAUCGUAAAACUCUGUUAUUAGGGAAGAACAAAUGUGUAAGUAACUAUGCACGUCUUGACGGUACCUAAUCAGAAAGCCACGGCUAACUACGUG